AUUGAACGCUGGCGGCAGGCCUAACACAUGCAAGUCGAGCGGAUGAAGGGAGCUUGCUCCUGGAUUCAGCGGCGGACGGGUGAGUAAUGCCUAGGAAUCUGCCUGGUAGUGGGGGAUAACGUCCGGAAACGGGCGCUAAUACCGCAUACGUCCUGAGGGAGAAAGUGGGGGAUCUUCGGACCUCACGCUAUCAGAUGAGCCUAGGUCGGAUUAGCUAGUUGGUGGGGUAAAGGCCUACCAAGGCGACGAUCCGUAACUGGUCUGAGAGGAUGAUCAGUCACACUGGAACUGAGACACGGUCCAGACUCCUACGGGAGGCAGCAGUGGGGAAUAUCCGACAAUGGGCGAAAGUCUGAUCCAGCCAUGCCGCGUGUGUGAAGAAGGUCUUCGGAUUGUAAAGCACUUUAAGUUGGGAGGAAGGGCAGUAAGUUAAUACCUUGCUGUUUUGACGUUACCAACAGAAUAAGCACCGGCUAACUUCGUG
rnacentral:rRNA from 1 species